rnacentral:rRNA from 1 species
UACGGAGGGUGCGAGCGUUGUCCGGAAUCACUGGGCGUAAAGGGCGCGUAGGCGGCCUGAUAAGUAGGGGGUGAAAUCCUGCGGCUUAACCGCAGGGCUGCCUUCUAAACUGUCGGGCUAGAGCACGGUAGAGGCGGAUGGAAUUCCCGGUGUAGCGGUGGAAUGCGUAGAGAUCGGGAAGAACAUCAGUGGCGAAGGCGGUCUGCUGGGCCGUUGCUGACGCUGAGGCGCGACAGCGUGGGGAGCAAACAGG